AACGAACGCUGGCGGCAGGCUUAACACAUGCAAGUCGAGCGCAUCGCAAGAUGAGCGGCAGACGGGUGAGUAACGCGUGGGAAUCUACCUUGAACUACGGGAUAGCUCCGGGAAACUGGAAUUAAUACCGUAUGUGCCCUUAGGGGGAAAGAUUUAUCGGUUCAGGAUGAGCCCGCGUCGGAUUAGCUAGUUGGUGGGGUAAAGGCCUACCAAGGCGACGAUCCGUAGCUGGUCUAAGAGGAUGAUCAGCCACAUUGGGACUGAGACACGGCCCAA
rnacentral:rRNA from 1 species